rnacentral:rRNA from 1 species
CCGGCCUUGAAAUACCACCCUUUAAUGUUUGAUGUUCUAACGUGGACCCGUGAUCCGGGUUGCGGACAGUGUCUGGUGGGUAGUUUGACUGGGGCGGUCUCCUCCUAAAGAGUAACGGAGGAGCACGAAGGUUGGCUAAUCCUGGUCGGACAUCAGGAGGUUAGUGCAAUGGCAUAAGCCAGCUUGACUGCGAGCGUGACGGCGCGAGCAGGUGCGAAAGCAGGUCAUAGUGAUCCGGUGGUUCUGAAUGGAAGGGCCAUCGCUCAACGGAUAAAAGGUACUCCGGGGAUAACAGGCUGAUACCGCCCAAGAGUUCAUAUCGACGGCGGUGUUUGGCACCUCGAUGUCGGCUCAUCACAUCCUGGGGCUGAAGUAGGUCCCAAGGGUAUGGCUGUUCGCCAUUUAAAGUGGUACGCGAGCUGGGUUUAGAACGUCGUGAGACAGUUCGGUCCCUAUCUGCCGUGGGCGCUGGAGAACUGAGGGGGGCUGCUCCUAGUACGAGAGGACCGGAGUGGACGCAUCACUGGUGUUCGGGUUGUCAUGCCAAUGGCACUGCCCGGUAGCUAAAUGCGGAAGAGAUAAGUGCUGAAAGCAUCUAAGCACGAAACUUGCCCCGAGAUGAGUUCUCCCUGAGACUUAGAGUCUCCUGAAGGAACGUUGAAGACGACGACGUUGAUAGGCCGGGUGUGUAAGCGCAGCGAUGCGUUGAGCUAACCGGUACUAAUGAACCGUGAGGCUUAACCUUACAACGCCGAAG